rnacentral:misc_RNA from 1 species
GAUGAAGAACGUAGCGAAAUGCGAUAAGUAAUGUGAAUUGCAGAAUUCAGUGAAUCAUCGAAUCUUUGAACGCACAUUGCGCCCGCCAGUAUUCUGGCGGGCAUGCCUGCUCGAGCGUCAUUUCAACCAUCAAGCCCCCGGCUUGUGUUGGGGACCUGCGGCUGCCGCAGGCCCUGAAAAGCAGUGGCGGGCUCGCUGUCACACCGAGCGUAGUAGCAUACAUCUCGCUCUGGGCGUGCUGCGGGUUCCGGCCGUUAAACCACCUUCAUAACCCAAGGUUGACCUCGGAUCAGGUAGGAAGACCCGCUGAACUUAAGCAUAUCAAUAAGCGGAGGA